rnacentral:lncRNA from 1 species
AUGGUUAAAAAUAGAAAGUGUUGCCAUCAGCCAUCAAUUAGUGCUCGAGUGCUGAGGUCAGGGGACAGAUCUGGAGGAGUCAGCUCCGCUUGUUUUCUCCUUGAUCUCACCAGGGAAGGAGAUCUCCUCCAGCCUCCAGCCCAUGUCCCCGUCUUGGCCUUGCUUGGAACUGAGUCACGUGAGCACUUGCUACUGCCAUCCCUUCCAAAAGUGAGAGUUGUCCACUUAUAUAUCAUGGUUUCUGAGUUCAAAGUACUGUGCUAUGCACCUGUGGCUGGAUGCUUUCAGACCGGACCACCGGCAACACCAUUUCCUGAAGUUAGAUCUCAAAGUCAAAGAGGAGUUUGUUCAGCAUGUUCUGCUGUCAUCAAUAUGCAAAUGUCCAUUCCCACUAGGGGAAGUUAUUGCAUAUGAUCCACAAACAUAUCAGGUCUUGAAAUUCUUUUUUUCUGACAGAGCUAUUGAUUAAUGGUCCAUAAAAUACAUUCAUGAAAAUGUUCUUAGACAAUGUCCUAUAACCAUCACUACUUGAUACAUUUUUAUGAUAAAUAUCACUUGGCUCUUCAGUUUUCUACAAUUGUUUUAAAAGAAAAAGUUCAAGCCUGUAAAAUAUGGAUGCAACAUAAUAAUAAAUAUUUACACACAACAUCAAGAUUUGAAGUUGAAUCUUUACUUUUUCUCCUUUGAGAAAGCUACAAAGCACAGGGCUCCUUGAAGAGUCCAGAAUCUGCUACAUCAAAGAGAAAUGCUACAUACCAUGCUAAAAAUGACAAUCAACCAGAAAGCUUAAGUAAAUAACAGCACUAUAUCACAUCAUCCAGUUACUGUUUAAAGUUUAUUCAGGUAUUUCCUAAUGUGUCUUGUAGCUGCUUAGAAAGUCUAGAAUACCAUUAAGAUGCACUUCUGAGUGUAUGUGGGUG